rnacentral:rRNA from 1 species
GAUGAACGCUGGCGGCGUGCCUAAUACAUGCAAGUCGAGCGAACAGACGAGGAGCUUGCUCCUCUGACGUUAGCGGCGGACGGGUGAGUAACACGUGGAUAACCUACCUAUAAGACUGGGAUAACUUCGGGAAACCGGAGCUAAUACCGGAUAACAUGUUGAACCGCAUGGUUCAACAGUGAAAGACGGUCUUGCUGUCACUUAUAGAUGGAUCCGCGCCGCAUUAGCUAGUUGGUAAGGUAACGGCUUACCAAGGCAACGAUGCGUAGCCGACCUGAGAGGAGGAUCAGCCACACUGGAACUGAGACACGGUCCAGACUCCUACGGGAGGCAGCAGUAGGGAAUCUUCCGCAAAGGGCGAAAGCCUGACGGAGCAACGCCGCGUUAGUGAAGAAGGUCUUCGGAUCGUAAAACUCUGUUAUUAGGGAAGAACAAAUGUGUAAGUAACUAUGCACGUCUUGACGGUACCUAAUCAGAAAGCCACGGCUAACUACGUG